rnacentral:rRNA from 1 species
GAUGAACGCUGGCGGCGUGCCUAAUACAUGCAAGUCGAGCGAACGGACGAGAAGCUUGCUUCUCUGAUGUUAGCGGCGGACGGGUGAGUAACACGUGGAUAACCUACCUAUAAGACUGGGAUAACUUCGGGAAACCGUAGCUAAUACCGGAUAAUAUUUUGAACCGCAUGGUUCAAAAGUGAAAGACGGUCUUGCUGUCACUUAUAGAUGGAUCCGCGCUGCAUUAGCUAGUUGGUAAGGUAACGGCUUACCAAGGCAACGAUGCAUAGCCGACCUGAGAGGGGGAUCGGCGACACUGGAGCUGGGACGCGGUCCAGGGUCCUACGAGAGGCAGCAGUAGGGUAUCUGCCGCAGUGGGCGAAAGCCUGACGGAGCAACGCCGCGUGAGUGGUGGAGGUCUUCGGAGCGGAAAACUCUGUUAUGAGGUAAGAACAUAUGUGUAAGUAACUGUGCAGAUCGUGACGGUACCUAAUCAGAAAGCCACGGCUAACUACGUG